UGAGGAAUAUUGGUCAAUGGGCGCAAGCCUGAACCAGCCAUCCCGCGUGCAGGAAGACGGCCCUAUGGGUUGUAAACUGCUUUUCCAGGGGGAGAAUUUUUCUGUCGUGACAGGAAUUGACGGUACCCUGGGAAUAAGCAUCGGCUAACUCCGUGCCAGCAGCCGCGGUAAUACGGAGGAUGCGAGCGUUAUCCGGAUUUAUUGGGUUUAAAGGGUGCGUAGGCGGAUUGAUAAGUCAGUGGUGAAAACCUGCAGCUUAACUGUAGACUUGCCGUUGAUACUGUCAGUCUUGAGUGUGGUCAAGGUAGGCGGAAUGUGUAAUGUAGCGGUGAAAUGCUUAGAUAUUACACAGAGCACCGAUUGCGAAGGCAGCUUACUGGGCCAUUACUGACGCUGAUGCACGAAAGCGUGGGGA
rnacentral:rRNA from 1 species